AAAAUGACAGUGAAAUCUCUUUUUGAUUAUAUCAAUAUGGUAUGAUCAACUUAAAAAAAGUCUCACUAAAUCUCCAAAAAGAAUAAAAAGGCAAAAAAUAAAAAGAAAAUAGAAAGAAAUCGCUAGAGGAUUACAAGGCUGUAUGUAGUUUCUCAGCUGAGUUCUUCAAUUACGAGUUCUCCAACUGACCCAAUGAAUCCCACUAUGGUGAUCAACAGACAGAGAAAGCUGAACGACCUGUAG